CAGAAAAUAUUCACAUUUAAGAAGCUGAAACCAUAAUAUUGUCUUUUCUUCCCCAUAAAAACUUCCCCACUACUACAACUGUUGCAGCUCUAGUACUGACACGUAAUAACCCUGUUAUUCUUGGUUGCCCGCAGGGUUUCAGACAGUGGCUACAAAAGGACAUGGCAGCAAGUCAAAGUCAAACACAAAAACAUUGUGCAAACAGGUAUUAUUGCAAACGUCGAUGGAAACAAUUUCACACUUCAGAGGUAAAUGUUGCGCGUUCGAUUCCAGUAUUUGUAACAAGCAAAACAGAACAGUUAUGAUACAAAUUAAGAAAAAUGUAUAUUGUUACGAUAAAAUGCAUAAACUAUUACUAAAAUUAGUUCCACUCCCACUUGCUCACUCCUCAAGCCAGUGCUGCUUACACAUUUAUGGAUUUGGUGCAAUUGAUCCAGUAUAAUACAGGCUCUCAUGCUUGACGACUAUAAAUAAGAGAUGCGAAUAGUUCACCCAGCACUGACACUGUCUACACCGUCAGCACCGUUAACAUUCCAGGAGAAUGUUUUACUCCUCUGACGUCUCCUUGUGCAGCGAAAAGAAGAAGGGCCGAGCUGAUGACCAACCAGGGCGGCUCGGCGACCCUGUCUCUGACCUCCGCCGAGGAAGACCUGCUGCAGCACAAGGACAACAGGCUGCGGGUGGAGGUCCUCCCUGGGGCCGCCUGCAUCGAGCCGCUGCCCGGAUCGGACGGCUCUUUUAUCAGCGUGUCGGGCCAUCCCGUGCUCCUCCUGCCUGUGACCAAGGCCGAACCAGAGAGCUUGAGCAGUGAUGAGACAGACAUCAGUGACACACACUUCGAGGGGGACGUGCACAGCAGCAGCUUCCGAGAAAGGUCCAACUCGGCAUGCGCUACCAUCGGCAGCAGAAGUGCAGAGAGGCAGACGGAAGACAUUCGGGCCCUUUACUGCCGCUACCUGAAAAAAGAGAUGGAGAACCGUGACCAGCAGAUGGCGUACAGAGCUCUCAAAAUGAGGAAGUUGGAAAAAGAAAUCUUAUUACUCGAUAGGCAGCUGGUGUGACUGCGGGAAGAAUGUUUUUUAAUGCAAAACUAUUUUUUUGGUUUACUUAGGUCUGACUUUACCUGUAAUAUAGAGUCAAAUACAGUAUUUGACACUGCCCACAGGACGUCUGGGAGGGUGUGUGUGUGUGUGUGUGUGUGUGUGUGUGUGUGUGUGUGUGUGUGUGUGUGGAGAUUUACACGUAACAGCAAUUAUGGGCAGCAAUGUGUGUUUUGUUUUUCUGAUAAUUCUUACACUGUCAAGUUUGCAACAACGUGACAGACCCUUUCUCAGUGUUGCAUUAUUGCACUGCACAACUCUGCACGCGCUGCGGCACGUGGGGUUGUCUGGUGGAACUCCUUCACACCUCCUUCUGUUGCCCCAAAGAUCAUUUCAAUCUCUGCAGGACCUUCUGGUCAGAGCGCAGUAGACCGUCACACUUGUGGUCGCGUUGGCUCGCUACUUGGACUGCACUGGACUGGAAACGACUGAAUAAAAACGAGGAAUGGCUUCAUUUGAUAACACUUAACACCACGUCAGACGGGUGGGUUUCCGAACUGUCGCUCUUCGGCACAAAUUCCACAGUGUUAUGAGACAGUAAGUGGACGAGUUAACAUAACGUCUGUGUAUUUAUCGAAUAUGUGGCUGCUGAUCCUUUGCACUCACUGACGGGCUGAGGUCUGUUACUGAUCGACGGCUUCCUUGCUGAGGUUCUGAUAUUCCUGUGUUGCUGUCUUCUUCAUUUAUUGCUCAGGCUUCUUUUUUUUCAUACUGUCAAAUUAUUUUUCUCAAAUUUAACACAGUUAGAUUCAAUGAAUUGACUUAUACGUGAAGACCACUGACUACUUGGCUGAAACCUUUGUGACGUGCUGCUAAUGUUAGGUUGAAAUUGGUUUGUGUCACCAGACUACGUUAUCAUGUGCAGUAGUCUGGUUUUGUUUUUCUUGUUUUUUAGAAAAAGGUCCUCUCUCCUAAAGCUGAUUUGAAUUUUUACAUCCCACCCCCAAAACCCCUCAAUCUCUUUUUGGAUUAUUCAAAACCUGCCUUUUGUCAUAUUUAAAAUCUAUUUGUAAAUGAUCAUGAUUAUUAUUUUGUAAUAUAUUUCUGGAAUUAGUGUUGUUGAUUCUGUUUAAUUUAUUCAUUACCCUGGCGUUCGACUGUGCGUGUUUAUGAUUUAUUUUGUAAGCGCCGACUACAAUACAAGAACAGUCUGAAGCGUCCAAACAAGAUGUUGUGAUUGUUGUCUUUGUUCAAUGUCUGUUACAUGAUCCAGAAAGUGUUGAGGUGAUGGGGACACGGCGGCGGACUCGGGCUGUUUGAGGGGCCGGGGCGAAAAAAAUAAAAAUGACAUGGGGCCCCAACAACGUGCUAAAAAGCUAUAAUGCAUCAUGUGUGAUGAAAUAGCCUUCUCACUUGGAAGGGGCAUCUAAGCACCUGGAGGGAACCUUAAGUUUAUCCCAUUGUAAGUGCAACUAUAUGGCACCACAUCACAUUUUCUCCACUGGAGGGGCACUUCUCCAUUAGAGUAGCACUUCAUCAUGUUUUCUCCCCUGUAGUAUAACCCCAUCCCCUUUUUCUCUACUGGAAACAAAGGGCACCCUUUGGGGCACUGCUAUGUAGGGGCAGCAUAGAUGGCACUUCAUAACAGCACCCUUUUCCCUUGGAAGGGCCAAGUUUAGACCAGUGUCAGGGCACCUUACAGGGCACUGCGUCACGUUUUCUCCACUAGCAGGGAAGUCGUUAUCAAAUUUUCUUGCUGUAAACGGCACAUUGUCAUCAUUUUUUGUAUGAAAGGGAACCCUAGAGGGCACUCAAUAAUUUUUUUCCCAUGUGAAGGGCAGCCAAUAGGGAACCUGAGGGUCCCCCCCCUCUGGGUCCACCAGUGUUGGGACAUGAGGCUGCACAACACUAUAACAUUAUAUUAAAAUCCUAUACUAGUAAUUAUAUAGUUGACUAUCUCUAAUACGAGCUGAACCCCAGUGUCCCACUCCUCAGACGGGCAGCAGCGAGCGGGUCACUGUCUGGACCACGGGUCUGCACCAUAAUAGUAAUUUUCAUUGCUAAAAGCAAUCUCAAAGUGCAUCACCACAUGUAUGAACCA
ensembl:lncRNA